rnacentral:rRNA from 1 species
UACGGAGGGUGCAAGCGUUAUCCGGAAUCACUGGGUUUAAAGGGUGCGUAGGCGGUUGUAUAAGUCAGGGGUGAAAGCACGCAGCUUAACUGUGUAAUUGCCUUUGAUACUGUACGGCUUGAAUAGGGUUGAGGUUGGCGGAAUGUGACAUGUAGCGGUGAAAUGCAUAGAUAUGUCAUAGAACACCGAUUGCGAAGGCAGCUGACUGGGCCUAUAUUGACGCUGAGGCACGAAAGCGUGGGGAGCGAACAGG